rnacentral:rRNA from 1 species
GACGUAGGGCGCGAGCGUUGUCCGGAUUUAUUGGGCGUAAAGAGCUCGUAGGCGGCUUGUCGCGUCGACUGUGAAAACCCGCGGCUCAACUGCGGGCCUGCAGUCGAUACGGGCAGGCUAGAGUUCGGUAGGGGAGACUGGAAUUCCUGGUGUAGCGGUGAAAUGCGCAGAUAUCAGGAGGAACACCGGUGGCGAAGGCGGGUCUCUGGGCCACUACUGACGCUGAGAAGCGAAAGCAUGGGGAGCGAACAGG